AAACCAACAGGGAUUGCCUUAGUAACGGCGAGUGAAGCGGCAAAAGCUCAAAUUUGAAAUCUGGCACCUUCGGUGUCCGAGUUGUAAUUUGAAGAAGGUAACUUUGGAGUUGGCUCUUGUCUAUGUUCCUUGGAACAGGACGUCACAGAGGGUGAGAAUCCCGUGCGAUGAGAUGCCCAAUUCUAUGUAAAGUGCUUUCGAAGAGUCGAGUUGUUUGGGAAUGCAGCUCUAAGUGGGUGGUAAAUUCCAUCUAAAGCUAAAUAUUGGCGAGAGACCGAUAGCGAACAAGUACAGUGAUGGAAAGAUGAAAAGAACUUUGAAAAGAGAGUGAAAAAGUACGUGAAAUUGUUGAAAGGGAAGGGCUUGAGAUCAGACUUGGUAUUUUGCGAUCCUUUCCUUUUUGGUUGGGUUCUCCGCAGCUUACUGGGCCAGCAUCGGUUUGGACGGUAGGAUAAUGAUUAAGGAAUGUGGCUCUGCUUCGGUGGAGUGUUAUAGCCUUGGUUGAUGCUGCCUGUCUAGACCGAGGACUGCGUCUUUUGACUAGGAUGUUGGCAUAAUGAUCUUAAGCCAC
rnacentral:rRNA from 1 species